rnacentral:tRNA from 1 species
GAGGAUAUAGCUCAGUGGUGGAGUGCAUGCUUAGCAUGCACAAGGUCCUGAGUUCAACCCCCAGUACCUCCA